rnacentral:rRNA from 1 species
UACGUAGGUGGCAAGCGUUGUCCGGAAUUAUUGGGCGUAAAGCGCGCGCAGGCGGUCCUUUAAGUCUGAUGUGAAAGCCCACGGCUCAACCGUGGAGGGUCAUUGGAAACUGGGGGACUUGAGUGCAGAAGAGGAAAGCGGAAUUCCAGGUGUAGCGGUGAAAUGCGUAGAUAUCUGGAGGAACACCGGUGGCGAAGGCGGCAUCCUGGACCAACACUGACACUGAGGAGCGAAAGCCAGGGGAGCAAACGGG